AGCUUCCGGAGUAGCUGGGACUACAGGCGCCCGCCACCUCGCCCGGCUAAUUGUUUGUAUUUUUAGUAGAGACGGGGUUUCACUGUGUUAGCCAGGAUGGUCUCCAUCUCCUGACCUCGUGAUCCGCCCGCCUCGGCCUCCCAAAGUGCUGGGAUUACAGGCGUGAGCCACCGCGCCUGGCCCCUCCUUUACUUCUUGGCACCUUUAGAAGAUUCUGACUGCUGUUCACUUAAGUGGGAACAGCACUGCGUGCACAAUGCUCACUGUGCAUCUGCCCGUGUUCCGAAUCACAUCCAAUAUGACUUCCUGGCAGCGGGUUGGCGUCUGCGUAUUGUUACUGCAGUGGUUGUCUACCUGAGCCUUGUCUACUGUGAGCUGGAACACCUACCUCCCCCUCUGGAGAGCAGGAAUUGGAGAGGGAAGAGAGAAGCCCCUCCCAUUCGCUUCUACUGGGGCUUGUUAGGCCAUCGCCUUGGGGGCCGGCUGAUCAGCGGCAGCCAGCAGCCGGCGGCUUCGGCAGGCAGGAACAAGGACAGCCUGUGGCUACUGCAGCCCCACUGCCCGGCCAUGCUUCAUGAUGGGGGAGAGUGCCUUGGGAGGAAUAUACAGGCAAAUCAUGACUCCCAGAGGCCUAUGGACUGGAGCUAUUAACAUCCUGCAGAUGGGAGCCACUCUCUCACUGUGAUCACCAAGGUACCCAGGGCCUCCGGAGGCCACAAAGAAUGGAUAAUUGCAACCCACAGUAAUUUUCAUCGACUGUGGAGCAGCCUGCUGGGACCCUGCCAGCUGAUCUUAACAAGCCCACUUACUGCAGGAUUCCCACUGCUUUCCUGGGCUAGGAAUUCCUUAACCAAAGCCCCCUGGCUGAGAGAAAACCCCGAAGCAGUUAAGAUACCAGGAAAGGAAGACUUGAAAAUUGUGAGUCUUUCUCAGUAGAGGAGGCAGUGUGCUGUUAUAUGCUGAUGCAGCUCCUUGUCUUGGACUCAUAACUGACAGAACAGCAUGUGGACCUCACCGCUCCUUGGACUUCGAGUGGCGCUACUCUAACGCUGAGUCCUGACCUGGAUCCCUGUUUGCUUGCCUAGACCUAAGGCGGUGGUGCAGACCUUCCCCCACCCCACAUACCAUCGCCUUCUGGAAUGUGGCUUUGUGGAACUGAGGCUGAGACAAUCACAGUGCCCCAUUCUUCUGGUCAUGUGACAGGUCUGGACCUGGUCAUGUGGCAAAGUCGAAUCUAAGUCACAUCAAAGCAGGGAGAGUUAAAGCAAAUCUUUUCUCUCUUGUUGUGGAGCUGGAAUAUGAGCCCAGAAGCUUCCAGAACACAUGGUCCUGCCCUCAUAAAGAAGCUCAAGUGAGGGAACAAAAUCGACUUAGGUAGCAGCGAGCAUGGAUGGGGCCUGGCUACAUCAAGUUCUCAGAUCCUGUUGUCCCCACCCACCCCCUGUAACUUGCCAAUUUUAUCCAUCAAGCAUCCUCUCCUCUCUCCCAACUUGUCUGAGUUCUGUUUCUGUCAUUGUCACCAAGAGAGCUUUGAUGAGUAAGAAAUCCCAACAUUCCACGGGAGUCUUGGUGGUUUAAAUUUUUAAGUGAGUCCUCACUUGUUAAAGUCUUAUUCCUGUUAGAGGGCACUUCCAUAGUCCAGAAGGUGGGGAAUUCCUAUAGGUGACCUGUGGUCUCUCUAAGCAAUUUGACCAGGACUAUUUAAUAAAAUAUUUUAAAAAUGGUUCCUUUUAAUUAUUCAUUUUCAAAUGUAUAUUUGUUCUUGGCAAACAAGAGAUGAUUUGCGUUAAUCAGUGAUCUUUAAGCAAAUUCCUUGCAAUACUUUAUCUCCAUAUAAACUCGAAGCUUCUUAAAUGAAAUAGUACCUGUGUAUUUCAUAUGGCUUCCUCUUUUAUAAAUAAAAUGAAUGGACUUGGGACCAAAACAGAAUUUUUUUUUUCGGGAACUAUAGGACUGGAAUCUUUUUAUCCAAGGCAGUUGGAUCCCACAGUACAUUUUCACUGUAACAGACAAUGAGGUUGAGUCAAUAAAUAAAUAAAUAAAGUCACCAACAUGUCCAAAAGCCUCCAUUUAAAACUCAAAGCCAGUGGUUUUGGGUUUCACCUUUUCCUUUAAAAUUAAAUUCCCUGAAACCAUAUUUUAAAAAUGCUAUCUGAAUGGGAACCGCCAAACUGGGAAACUUUAAGUUUAAAAAUAGAACUGCAUCUGAAUUAUCUUAUAGAAAUUUGUCUUCUAACCAGCCAUCAGUAACUGUAAGCAUGCUUCAUAGAUCUACAUAUUUCAGCACUUUUUACAUUCUGAAAGAAUCUUGCUUAGAUACGAAGGUUAACUGGACACCUUUUUCUGCAUUCACCUUUAAUACUGGAUGCCCCCUUUAUCUGCACUCCCAAGCUGGGAAGCCCCAGAGUGGGCUCUUGGCCCCUUGCGGCCAACUGAAGUUCUCCAUCUCUGCAGCCUCCGUGAUCACCUUAAGAAUAGGCUCGCGACCUCCUUUGGGCCACACAGAGUCCUUCUCAGGGCUUGCGCUGGAGCUCUCAGGAGGGAUGCUCGCUUUCUCACUGAUCAGGAACUCUAAGGACCAAAGCCUGGAGUGAGGAUGUGAUCUGCUUGCAAGCGAAGGAGGCAGGAGGCAGCCGGACUCGAGGGCACACAUGACCUGGCAGGGCUGAACCUCAGGCUCCGGUGAGGCUGGCUCCUGACUGCCCCUCUGGACUUUCUCAGUUAUUUCAGGCCAUGGAUUAUCUUUAGUGCUUAAGCUAGUUUGAGUUGUGUUUCUGCCACUCAUAAUUCAGAGAAUCCUGGUGGCUUCAGUGUGAUCAGGAAGACAUUGGGAGCCAUUUUAGUUUUUACUUAACUUUUCCAAACUUGCUAGACAGGCUGAUUAUGGGUCUGUGCUAGUCUGGGAACCUGUGUUUGCUCUCUUAAGCCAUGGGUCUUAGACUCAUUUCCUGUUGCAAACAGGAUGCACUGCACAUUUUUACUGUGUUUUUGCUGCCCAUAAGUGGGAGGCAGAUUCGAAUGAUAGAAUUGGAAAGGUUCCAAAAGCACCAGCCAUGGUAGGGACCCUGAAGAUUGCAAGAUAAACAAAAGCAUUCAGAACUUGUGAUGGGAGUGUGAGAGGAUUGAGCGUUGAAGUCAGCCUAACAGAGGCUGUCGUUUACCCGGUGAAAUCCUCAAGUUACAAACAGCUGCUGUGCAAUUGGAAGUCACAGUCUUCAGUUAGGCUUGAUUUGUCAUUUGGUUUAUAAAUAAGCUUUCAUUUUGUCUUUUUUUUUUUUUUUUUUUGGUCUGGCAAUGUGGUAUCUCUUCCUUGCAGGAUUUGGGAAGCUGGGAAUAUGUGUGACCCACACUACCUGAGGGUGAUAGACUUUGACAGUGUCUCCAGCAUUUUCAUGUUGAAAUCUGCUUUAUCCUAAUUUCCAGUCUUGGUCUUGUCUGUCACAGGCUGGGGAGAAGAGCACCGUCCAGAGAAGGACCCAAUAAGGGACAUUUCCACCUUGCUUAGUGGGUUGAGGGCUGGGCUUUGGGUUUGAGAUGUGAAGAGAAAGAAGCUACGUGGAAGAGAAAGGAUGGAGGUACAAGGACGCCCUCCAGCCGGCUACACUUCUGAAACUAAAACAUACAAAACUCAGUGGCUUUUCCUCAACUCCUAUGAUGGAUGUGCAAGGACGCCCUCCAGCUGGCUGCAUUUCUGAUGCUAAAAAUACAAAACUCAGCAGCUUUGCCCAUACUCCUAUGAUGCCUG
rnacentral:lncRNA from 10 species